CAUUGGGGCGACCCGUACAAAUGCAAGUCGAGCGGAACGAUCCUAGCUUGCUAGGAGGCGUCGAGCGGCGGACGGGUGAGUAAUGCAUAGGAAUCUGCCCGGUAGUGGGGGAUAACUUGAGGAAACUCAAGCUAAUACCGCAUACGCCCUACGGGGGAAAGCAGGGGCUCUUCGGACCUUGCGCUAUCGGAUGAGCUUAUGUCGGAUUAGCUGGUUGGUGAGGUAACGGCUCACCAAGGCGACGAUCCGUAGCUGGUCUGAGAGGAUGAUCAGCCACAUCGGGACUGAGACACGGCCCGAACUCCUACGGGAGGCAGCAGUGGGGAAUAUUGGACAAUGGGGGCAACCCUGAUCCAGCCAUGCCGCGUGUGUGAAGAAGGCCCUCGGGUUGUAAAGCACUUUCAGCGAGGAAGAAUGCUUGUCGGUUAAUACCCGGCAAGGGAGACAUCACUCGCAGAAGAAGCACCGGCUAACUCCGUGCCAGCAGCCGCGGUAAUACGGAGGGUGCGAGCGUUAAUCGGAAUUACUGGGCGUAAAAGCGUGCGUAGGCGGCUUGAUAAGCCGGUUGUGAAAGCCCCCGGGCUCAAACCUGAGAACGGCAUCCG
rnacentral:rRNA from 1 species